AAAAGUGAGCCGAGCAGAAAAGAGCAGGAGCGGGCCGGCCGGGUCCGUUUGCCGUGGCGCGCGGGGGAGCUGAGGAAGGACUCCGCGCGGAACCCAGGAGUGUGGCGUCGCGGAGGUGCGGGAGCGACUGUCGCAGGCCGAGUCUGUGCUCCUCGGAUCUGCACCAGGAGAGCGGGGUCUGGACCCGGAGAGCAGCGGGCCGCGCUUUUCUCUCGCACCCUGCGGCCAACACUAUCACUUAAAACUGGGCCUGGUGGAAUGGAGGGGACACCCGGACUGCUGAGCCCUUCGGCUGGGUGUGAGUUUUGAAACCCUCUUUUUUUCCCCCUUGAGGAGACUCUCCCCUCUGGGGAUUUGUUCUGGGCCUGAUUGGGUUGCGAGAACUUGUGGAAGACUAGUAGAACCUGGGCCCGGCCUGGUUCGAAUGUCUGUUUAUUUCUCAAAGUGACUCCUCCUACUUAUGCGGGACCUUGUGUGUGCCCCUUAAGAGGACAAGGCUUGAUCCGCGCCCUGACAACCGGCGUUCGGGCUGCGGGAAAGCCCGAUGCGUCCUCCUGGGGUCCAGUGGCUGUAUCCAUACUAAUUUCCUCGGUAACCUUUAAACUCUCUGGAAGCAGCCGCGACGGCGGCUGGUCACGUGAGGCGAGCCCUGGGCUGCUGGGGAAGAAUUUCCUGGGCCAGGGACCAGGACCGGGAAGGCGGGCGGCAGGGAAUGGCUCUGUGCCGAGGGGGACUGGGAACCUGGGAGCGCCGGGCGGGGCGCGCCAGGCCCCGGGCGCCGCGCAGCGGGAACUUCCAGCCUGCGCCCGGGAAGGGGUUCGUCCCGCAGCUCUCCGCCGUGUGAGUGGAAAAAGAAAACCUCCGCCCUCACCCGAGUGCCAAGGUUCUUGGCAUCCAUCAAGAUUUUCACAUAAACGGAAGGCUUCAUUUGCCCUACUCUGCCCCGGCCCUGCUGGGCAGUCCAGCCAGGCAGGGAUUUCUUGAAGUUAGAGAUCCGAACUUAACUAGUUGGUGUUUCUUGAUAUGUCUCCAAUUUUGUCUGAUGGGCCCUAUCUUACGUGCAAAUAGAGUUGGAAUCGGAAAAUCAUAGACAUGAUCCCUUCUUUUUUGGCAUACUAAACAAGAAAUAAAUUUAAAAUUAAAC
rnacentral:lncRNA from 1 species